AACGCGAAGAACCUUACCUGGGCUCGAAGCGCAGUGGACCGGGGUAGAAAUAUCCCUUCCCCUUAAAAGGCUGCUGCGGAGGUGCUGCAUGGCUGUCGUCAGCUCGUGUCGUGAGAUGUUGGGUUAAGUCCAGCAACGAGCGCAACCCUUAUCGUUAGUUGCCAACGCGUGAAGGCGGGAACUCUAACGAGACUGCCUAGGUUAACUAGGAGGAAGGUGAGGAUGACGUCAAGUCCGCAUGGCCUUUAUGUCCAGGGCUACACACGUGCUACAAUGGUCGCCACAGAAGGCAGCAGAACCGCGAGGUGAAGCAAAAUCCUAAUAAAGGCGAUCUCAGUUCAGAUUGCAGUCUGCAACUCGGCUGCAUGAAGUUGGAAUUGCUAGUAAUGGCGUGUCAGCAACAACGCCGUGAAUACGUUCCCGGGCCUUGUACACACCGGUACUA
rnacentral:rRNA from 1 species